CUCACUCCCAAGUCAGUUUACUGCCUUUCAUUCAGCCAGACAUGGCCUUUCAUCCUGGAGCUUUCUGGAAGGUUGGCUAGGGUUAUGUGCCCUGGAGCCUAUCAAAGAAUGGGGCCUCCUGCCAAUGAGGGGAGCUGACAUGCAGGAGGCAGGGUUACAGCGUGACCAGACCUGUCAUCAGAAUGAGUUGGUAGCACUGAGCCAGAUGUAGGUCAGGUAGCCUAGGGCAGAAGACAGUCUUUACUUGAAGCCUGAAGCCAGCCUUCCUGAUGAACCAACACAUCAGCUGAAGACCACGGGACAGGAGGGGAACCAUGGUCUGGGGGAGGAAGGUGUGCUGGCUUUCUGAGAACAGAAAACUCUACCCCAUGCUUGAUUUCCACACACAUCUGCAAAAAUCCUGGCACAUGCAGAUGACUGGCAUCCCCACUUGACACAGAUGUCAACAAACAUGACAAUGCAUUCAUCUGAUAGGGAUCAUCAUCACUGCUGUUUCCAGAGCCAGAGUUAACAAACGCUAAGGUAAUAGCGUGGAUACUGUCUGCUUCCCCAACCUCCUGGUUGCCUGCUGCAGUGUGGGUCAAGGGCAUGGGGUGGAGAGAAACGGGGUGCUAGGAGCUAGGGAAAUGGCUUGGCGUGAAUGUGCUAUCUCUAAACCAUCUUUGGCUAGGCUCCCAUUUUAUUAGGUGGAUGAUAAGCCUGCCAUCCCUGGAGUUCCUCCUGUGUCUUGUGGUAAGGCUACACGAAGAGGCUUCAGUGGGCUCUUGAGGAUGUCUUCUCAGGGGUCUUGGGAGUAGCACUAGUGGGCUAUACAGGUGUGUGGUUUCUCUCAGCAUGAGGCAGGGUGGUGGGGAGGAAGGGCAGCCUUUGGGGAGCUGUAACUCGGGCUCUGUGCCUUUUCUAGUUGGUGUCCCCUUGAGCAAGUCACUCAGCUUUCUGAGUCUUAAUUUCAUCCUGUUUCCUCUGUGAUGGGGAUAGUAUUACCUUACAAUAGGGACAUCAAGUGCCUAGCAUCGUGCUUGGUAGAUGGAAGCUGUAGGCGGUGGUCAUCAUCAUAAUUAUUAGAUAAGGAGCCUGACUGGGACGCCUGGGUGGCUCAGUGGCUGGGCGUCUGCCUUUGGCUUGGGGCAUGAUCCUGGAGUUCCUGGACUG